UACGGGGGGGGCAAGCGUUGUUCGGAAUUACUGGGCAUAAAGGGUGCGUAGGCGGUUUGUUAAGUCACUGGUGAAAGUUUUCGGCCCAACCGGAAAAUUGCCUGUGAUACUGGCGAACUUGAGUGCGUGAGGGGUGGGGGGAACGAGCAGUGUAGCGGUGAAAUGCGUAGAUAUCAGGAGGAACACCAGUGGCGAAGGCGGGUCUCUGGACAGUUCCUGACGCUGAGGCACGAAGGUCAGGGGAGCAAACGGG
rnacentral:rRNA from 1 species